GCCCGGAUGGUGGAAAGGCAGACACGGGGCGCUUAAACCGCCCUGCCCGUCAGGGUGUGUGGGUUCGAGUCCCACUCCGGGCA
rnacentral:tRNA from 1 species